UAGAAUAUAUUUGUUAUAUAUUUUCAAACAAAAUAUUUUAAAAUACAAAUAUAGAAUAUGACCCCAAUUUUAUAUACACUAUGCAUAGAUAGACACACAGACACACACACACACACACACACACACACGAGAUAAAAGACUGCAAAUUGUUUAGUACUGCAAAACUCUAAAUGUUUAAUCUCUUAGUAAUGAUAUUACAGGAAAACAAUAGCAAACAGUAAACACACCAAACAUCCAAUGAAAAAUAGAAACUGCCAUGUUCACUUCAAAUAGGUUUAGACAUCACUUUCUCAUCUACUAAGUGAUUAACUACUGAGUGAUUGAUUAAAUAGAUAUCACAAAAAUUGUGGGUCAAAAACACUCCCAUCAUAGUUAUUUCCACUAUAUCUGUUGACUCCCAAAUCUAAAGUGUAGCCAAGACUUUCAUAUAUUUCCCAACUGCCUCUGCACAGUUGGAGAUAGUUAAAGUAAAAAUAGAGUUUGAAUCAGAAAUCAAUAUAUCAAAUCCUAGCUCUAUCUUUUUAUGCUUGUGUGUUAUUGGGUGACAAUACUAAAACUUCUGCAACCUCAACUCUGUAUCUAUGAGACUGGCAUGGUUCUGGGAGACCACAUGUAGGAAGGUCCCAAGUGGACUACGGUUAGCAAACCCCAGCCCUUCCAUGCCUUCUGGUCCACCUGCUCCUGCCUGCCCCUCAGUUAAGAGACAGCCCCCCGUGAAGCCCACGCCUGGAGGACCCUGACCCCAUUCCCCUUGGUGCCCGUGCCCACUGCCCAGCCCUGCGGCUCCCACCCAUUGACUCUGGAGCCGUCGUCUCCCUCUCCUGCCUACUUCACCAAUACCGCCCUUCACGACUUCCUCUUCUAAUGCCGAGCAGUGUCCUCGUCCCACGCCAGGUCUCAUACGCAGCCUCCCCGGGCCACAGAUGUGUGGGGAGCAGGUCUCAGUUCUUGUCCUCCAUCCCCACUCUGGCCUCACCCUCCUGUCAGUCUGCUCAGUCCCGACACCGCCUUCCAGACCCAUGUGCCCUCAUGCCCUGUCCCCCAGGGCCAGACUGGCCAUGGCCUCCCCUCCCCAGCCUGCCACAGGUUUACAGAACAUCUCACCUGUCUUGCUCAGAGCCCACAUGAGACCGUGCUGCCCUCAGGGAUCACGACCUGGUGAGGGAGGGAUUGAGCAAUGUUGUACACACCACGUGUUUCCACCUGUGCCUGGGACAUUGGCACCUGCUCUCCAAAUGCUUCGGGAAUAAAUGAGAGUCAAUUUAAUCUACAUCCACAGAGAAGAGGAAGGAAAGGCACUGAAAUGUGACAUUCGUCAAACAUGCCAGGACUGUUCAAGCUGCCUUUCACACACAUCGAAGUUUAGCUUCUCCAAAGCAAGGGGAGGCCAACGAGCCCCAAAUCACCCACAGCAGGGCCAGGAUUUGAAUUAAUCUUCCAGAUUCCAAACUCUUCACUAGACCGUGGUUUCCUAAAAUGAGAAACCAGCUGACGAGAGCGGGAGGCAUGAGUGCUGCCCUACCAUAAAGGGAUCGCAUCUGAAGCUACAGCCACCAUGACCUUACAUUCUUUUUCUUCUUUCACUUCAGAAGUGUAUCUGAAUCCUUAGUUCUAGAUGAGAAGCUUUCUAGGUAGUCAGCAGUAUGGUAUCACUUACGAACAGAAAGGAAUCACAAAUGCAUCCCCACGACUAUGAAACUAUAGUUUAGUAGUCAAAACCUCUUUAUGGCACUACAGCAUCUAAAUACAGAGUAAUAUAAAUGCCUCAAAAGGUUAAGAAGGUGUCAUUUCUUACACGUUUUCUACAUAGAACAUAACUGCUGUGUCCUGCCCUGUUCUGCCGGGCUGGUCACUGUGCUUUACCGUGCAUAUCAACAAUGCCCCUGGAGUUGUGCAGUGCACAGCCUGCGCAGCUGUGCCUGGUGGUCGUGGCUGUGGCACUAUCAACGAGGCAGUUGUAUAUGCCUCUGGAGGUUUCACCGGACAGACACGUUUGUAAAGUAUGGAGUGCAAACAGUAUUUAAAGGCAGGGACAUAGAGGCAUUACUGAAAGAGCUUGUAGAGAGAGGGCAGAGAGGCCAGCACCGAGGGGCCAGACUGCACCAGCAAAGAGAGCUCAGACGCAGGAGCUGGAGCCUGGAAAGGAAGCUGAAAUGGACCAAUCAGUGGAACAAAAUCACGAGAGGGUAGAAUCAGCAAAGAGCAGCAGGAGAUGCUGGAGGGAGGAGCGGGGCACUGUGAAAGGUGCCCCAGGAAGCCCCAGCCCCGCUGGCAGCACAAGGUCAAUGUGAUCCUUAUCGUCCCUCCCGCUUAUGCACAGGUGCACAGAGCAGAUGCUCAGUAUUGGCCUCCCCCAUAAAACGUGCAGCAGCCUGCAAGCUGUACGAAGCCAGGAUCCGGUCUGUGCCCCUUCCCCGGGGGGCUUGCCUCCCGGGCUUGUGCUAAAUGCUCACUAUUGAACAAAGCAACCAGUCGAUCAGUGCAUGGAUGAACAGAGGAAAGAAUAAAAUCCCACCAUUACACUGAGCCCUCACACAAGCCUGUGCAGAGAGGCGAAUGGGUUGUUACGCUAAGUGCUGGAUUUAGAAGCGACUGAGAUGUGGUAAGGUCAGUGAUCUGCCUAACGUCAUACAGCUGGGAAGGGACAAGACUCUGUCUCCAGACUCCAGAUCUCAUUAAUUCUCAGCACACGUGCCGUACUGUCCCAACAGGCAGCAGCCCCCUGGCCUCCUUCCUCACACACACGCUCACACCCACUGAGACACACAAGAUACUAGUGCUGGAGGAGUCUUAUCUGUGAGAAGACCCUUUCCAUAGCAGCACUGGCUUUGCAUAGACUGUGCCCUCAUCAGUUACAGUGACCUGUUUCAGCCCUAACUGUUCCUCACCCAAGUAACGAUGACAAGGAUGGCCUGCACCGAAUUCUCAAGAUUUGGUCUGUUUCUAACAAAGACACAGAGUCCCCGGUCUUCUCUGUCACCUGGAGCUCAAUGCACUUCCAAAAGUCCUGCCCACACAGUCACCUGGAGCCAUUUCAGGCAGAAUCCAGACCUGCACCAUGCUCCUUCAAGAGAAGAAGCAAGAGGCAUCAAGGAAGUGAGAGAAGGUAACAGUAUUGCUUCACAGGCUCACCGCAGGGCACACAGGUGGCAGGUAAGACCACAGGGCACACAGGAGGCAGGUAAGACCACAGGGCACACAGGUGGCAGGUAAGGGUAGUGCUACAGGCAAGGGACCUGAGCAAUGCCAAAUGGGCCGUGACACCUGGCAGUGCCUGCAGUCCUGGCUGUGCCUAGAGGGCUUGAACUUUUGAGCCAUUCAAUACCCUUCAGUAAUGCCAGCGUCUUAUAAACAUGUAGGGGGAUCCACAUUCUGGCCACCCAGCUCCAGGCAUCUGCCUCACCCAGGAAGGCCUCAGUGGUCUCAGCCCUGAUCCCACUCCCUGCUCUGUCCACUGGAAUUCUGCCCUGGGGCAGCAUCUGAAUUGUAGUCACCUUGAGGGGUGGAGGUUGAAUUUACAAUCAUACUCUUCAUCUUAACACACCAAAGGGCUGCUCAGCCAAAGGACAAAGGAUUUUGCAGUGUUUUGGCAAUGGCCAGGCGACAGUGGAGAGGGUUUGUGUGAAUCGGAGCCUUCCCCGGUGCUGUAGCACCACAGACGCACCCAUCAGCAAUGAUUCUGAUGGAAAGACAAGGCUGAGCACCAAACGGUGUGGGAGGAGGAGAGGAGAGAGCUUCAAAACAUCAUGAUGCUCCAGUGCAGUGCUUUUGAAUGAGAAAUAGGAUUUCUCCAUUUCCCCUACAGUAUUAGUAAAAUAUGAAAAAAAAAAUUGAUUCUAGAAAAUCUGACUUUCUCCUGCAAUGUGUCCUAAUUAUGCCUCGGAGGGGAAAAAAUGUCGUAUUCCCAUCCAUUUGCAUGAGGAUGAGAAUUUUACUAAAGACUCAAGACUCCCGAAAGCAAUAGCAUUUUAAUAUUGCAGCAAUGUGGAAAGUCUUAUCAGAAUAAACAUGAGACAUGGUUACCUUAGGCAGCCACACUCAUCAUUCAAAGAUGGGAACAUGCUGCCCACCCUACAAUCUCCAAUACUUUUUAAAAGUAUCUUUAAAAAACUUGUUUUGUUAAGGGAGCAAUUUAAAAAUUGUUAAUUGCAGUGUUGUGCAAUGGCCAGGCGAUAGCAGAAGAGGGCAUAAAAAUAAAUACAUACACCAAAGGAAUAGAGUAGAGGUGCCAGAAAUAAGCUCUUACAUAUAUGGGCAAAUGAUUUUCAGUAAUGAUGGCAAGACCAUUCAAUAGGGAAAAGGACAGUUUCUUCCACAGGUGGUAUUUGGAAAACUGGGUAUCUACAUGCAAAAGAAUGAAGUUGGACCCUUACCUAACACCACAGACAAAAAUUAACUCAAAAUGGAUCAAAGACCUAAACCUAAGACUCAAAACUAUAAAACUCCUAGAAGAAAACAUGGAGGAAAAGGUCAUGGCAUAGACUUUGGCAGUGAUUUCCUGGCUAUGACACCAAAAUCACAGACCACAGCAGGAAAAAUGGAUACACUGGACGGCAUCGAAAUGUAAAACUUCUGUGCAUCAAACGACACUGUCGUCAGAGUGGAAACGAAACACAUUGAGUGCGAGAAAAGACUUGCAAAUCAUGUACCUGACAAGGGACUGCUAUCCAGAAUACGUAAAAAACGUAUACAAGUCAACAACAAAAACAACCCAACUGAAAAAUGGGCAAAGGACUUGAAUAUGGAGAGAUGCUCAACAUCAGGAAUCAUUAGGGAAAUAAAAAGGAAAACCUACCGGUGAGAGAUCACACCCAACCCAUCAGGAUGGCACUAUCCAAAAAUCAAUAAAUACACACACAAAACAAAGAGAAAGAGAGAAACCCAGAAAUAACAAGCGUUGGUAAGAAUGUGAAGAAAAUGGAGUCCUUGUACACUCUGGUGGGAAUAUAAAAUGAUAUAGGUACUAUGGAAAAUAAUAUGGUGGUUUCUUGAAAAAGCAAAAGUAACCAUUUGAUCCAGCAAUUCAACUUCCAUGUACAUAUCUAUGAGAACUGAAAGCAGGGUGUUGAAGAGAUACUCAUGUCCAUAGCAGCAUUAGCCCAAGUAUCCAUGGACAGAUGAAGGCAUAAGCUAAAGGUGGGGUAUGCAUACAAUGGAAUAUUACUCAGCCUCAUAAAAGAAGGAAAAGCUGAACUAUGUUACUGCAUGGAUGAACCUUGAGGCCAUUAUGCCAGGUGAAGUAA